UACGUAGGGGCCAAGCGUUGUCCGGAAUUACUGGGCGUAAAGAGCUCGUAGGUGGUUUGUCGCGUUGUUCGUGAAAACUCACAGCUUAACUGUGGGCGUGCGGGCGAUACGGGCAGACUGGAGUACUGCAGGGGAGACUGGAAUUCCUGGUGUAGCGGUGGAAUGCGCAGAUAUCAGGAGGAACACCGGUGGCGAAGGCGGGUCUCUGGGCAGUAACUGACGCUGAGGAGCGAAAGCGUGGGGAGCGAACAGG
rnacentral:rRNA from 1 species